rnacentral:tRNA from 1 species
GUUUUCUUAAAUCAAAUAGCCUUUCUGAAGUCUCGUAGCUCAGCCGGUUAGAGCGCUACACUGAUAAUGUAGAGGUCGGCGGUUCGAGCCCGCCCGAGACUACAAGUAGAUACAGAAAGGGGAAUUAGCUCAGCUGGCUAGAGCGCCUGCCUUGCACGCAGGAGGUCAUCGGUUCGACUCCGAUAUUCUCCACUUUGGUUUAGUGAUGUCAAUCUUUAGUAGGGGUUGACAUUGUUAUGAUGAUCAGAAAGUUCUUUGACAUAUUGGUAUGAACAUAUAGAGUAAGCGUCUUAAGAAAGUAAUUAAGAGCAAACGGUGGAUGCCUUGGC